UAGCAUAUAUAUUUACAUAUAUAUAUACGACUCGUGUACAAUCACCUAGUGUCACGGACUUAGAGUUUUCUCACGGAUCCGUGCGGCCUUAGGCAGUUUCUUUGCUCAAAAACGCCUAAGUCAGCCUAACUUGCAGUAAUAAAGGAUUCAACAGUAAAAAUGCCUAAGUCAGCUUAACUCGCAACAAUAAAGGAUUCAACAGAAUUCCCUUAAGGUUUCCACGAAGAACAGCAGAAGAACGAAGUAAGAACGACCCUUGAAAGAUGAACAAAAAGCAAGAACACUUAAGAGAAAAGUUUGUGAAUACUCUCAAAAUUCUUAUUAACAACUGAAUGAAUUACAAUGAGGAGAGAGUCCUCUAUUUAUAGUUGAGGCUCUCCAAAAUCAACGGUCUAAAUCAAAAUACAUCAAUGGCUACAAUUAAAAGCAAUCACAAUAUCAAAUCUCUAAGAUUACAUAAUCGUAUCUUCUAAAGAUUUCAUUUAAUAUCUAGGAUCACAUAUCUCAAAAGAUUACCUUCCAUAUUUUCCAAGCAUAUCUUCAAAAGAUUACUUUCCUUAUUUGCCAAGCUCCGGAGAUGGGCUUUUAAUUCCUCCAAGCAAUGGACCAGUCUAGUUGGGCCAAAUGACCUCCCUCGAAUGGGAUGGAUCGCACGAAUCCGUCAUGGUUGCGAGAUCCCAUGCGCAACCCAUGACAUUCUCCCCCACUUGUUCUAACGACGCCCUCGUCGCAUCCUCCUCAUGGAACUGGUCAAUUUUUCCUUGGAACUGGCACAAUGCCUCGGCAGGUUCUCAACUUGCUUCGCUAUCAGGAAGUCCCUUCCAUCGAACUAAGUAUUCAUGACGCGGUCGAUGGUACUUUUGUCUAAUCACACGGUCUGCCUCAAUGGUUUCCACGUCGCGGUCAUAAGAGACCUUUACCCCCAUUGGUGCUCGUUCAGACUUGCCCCGAUUCAGAUCUUCUUGGUCCCAAUGAAAUGGCUUAAGCAUACUUACAUGGAACACUGGGUGGAUUUUAAGUUUUGGAGGUAACUCAAGCUUGUAUGCCACUUUGCCCACUCUCUUAACAACUUUAAAUGGCCCCUCAUACCUUCGCACGAGCCCUUUGUGCAAGCCCGUAUAUCGCAACAUCAAGUGUAGUUUGGCAAGGACUGAGUCACCCACUUGAAAUUGCACGUCUCUUCGGUUUUGAUCGGCCCACUUCUUAUUGCGCUUGCUUGCCUUGUGUAAACAAGCCCUAGCCAAGUCAUUCUUCUCUUGCUAAUCCUUCGCAAAACGAUAAGCUACCGGAUUUGGUCCUGUAUAACGAGUUACCACAGCAUUGGGUGUGAGUGGCUGUUGGCCCGUCACUAUCUCAAAUGGACUUUGGUUCGUUGCCCCACUUCGCUGCAAGUUAUAUGAGAAUUGAGCCACAUCCAAUAAAUUUGGCCAAUCCCUUUGUGUGGCACUCACAUAGUGUCGUAGAUAUGUUUCUAACAAUGCAUUUACUCUCUCAGUUUGCCCAUCGGUUUGCGGAUGCAUACUCGUGGAAAAGUUCAAGUCUGAGUCCAUUGACUUGAACAACUCGGUCCAGAAUCGACCUGUGAAUCGCCCAUCUUGAUCACUGACAAUCGACUGUGGCACGCCCCAAUAUUUUACCACAUCUCUAAGGAAUAAACGAGCUGCCUCCUCAGUAGGACAUUCCUUGGUGGCCGGAAUGAACGUCGCAUACUUCGAGAACCUGUCCACCACAACAAGAAUACUCGCAAACCCGUCAGAAUUAGGUAAACCAACAAUAAAAUCCAUGAAUAAACUCUCCCAUGGUCUUUCCGGAAUGGGUAGGGGUUGAAGCAAACCGGCUGGGGUCUUUAACUCAACCUUGUCUUGUUGGCAAACCAGACAAGUCUUCACAUAAGUUUCCACAUCAUCACCCAUGUGAGGCCAAUAAUAACGUUCCUCCAAAAGGGCCAAAGUAUGGUGCAUCCCUGGGUGGCCCGCCCAUCUCGAGUCAUGGCACUCUUUCAUGACUUCCUUACGUAGCUUCCCAUAAUAAGGCACAUAGAGGCAACGCCCUUGGGUGUAUAGCAUCUCUCCAUCAAGCCAAAAUAUUCUCGUUUUUCCUUCCUUGGCCAACUCCGUCAAAUUUUUGGCUGUAGGAUCAUGGGACAAUCCUUCUCGAAUACAUUCCAACAAGGAACCAUCAGGUUGGCUAAUUGCCGCAAAUUCCAUCUUUCGACUUAGUGCGUCGGCCACAAUGUUGGCACUCCUCGGCUUAUACUCCAUGGUAAAGUCAAAUUCAGCUAAGAAGACCUGCCAACGAGCCUGUUUGGGAGACAACUUUUUCUGGGUUAGAAAAUAACUGUUGGCAACAUUAUCAGUAAGGACAACGAACCUAGAACCCAAUAAAUAAUGCCUCCAAGUGCGCAAGCAAUGUACCACCGCAGUCAUCUCCUUCUCUUGGACCGUAUAUCUUCGCUCUGUCUCAUUAAGCUUUCGACUCUCGAAAGCAAUAGGAUAUCCAUCUUGCGUUAGGACUCCCUCGAUAGCAUAAUCUGAUGCAUCUAUGUGUACCUCAUAUGGCCUCGAAAAAUCUGGCAAGGCAAGCACAGGUUCCUUCGUCAUCUCUUGCUUCAAUUGAUUAAAGGCCCUCUCACAUUCUGGAUUCCAAUCCCAUACCUUCCCUUUUUUCAACAUGUCCGUCAAGGGUGUGGUAAUUCUCGAGUACCCUUUAAUAAAGCGUCGAUAGUAAUUUGCCAACCCAAGAAAAGAUCUCAACUCUGUCACCUUGGUUGGGGGCUCCCACUCGAAAAUGGCUCGAACUUUGCUCUUAUCCAUUCGGAUCUUACCCCCUCCCACAAUGUGGCCUAAGAAUGACACCUCUUGUUGGGCAAAUGAGCACUUCUCCUCCUUAACAAACAACUCAUUUUCCCUCAAAGUUUGGAACACCUCCCUCAAGUGUUCCACGUGCUCCUCGAGAUAUUUGCUAUACACCACAAUAUCAUCAAGAUAAACAACCACAAAACGAUCAAGGAAAGGUUGAAGUACCUUAUUCGUUAGGGUGCAGAAGGUAGCUGGGGCAUUCGUGAGUCCAAAAGGCAUCACAAGGAACUCGUAUGAACCAUAUCGUGUCACACAAGUUGUCUUUGGUUCAUCCCCCUCGGCUAUCCGAACUUGAUGGUACCCCGAUCUCAAAUCCAACUUGGUAAACCAUCUUGCACUACCAAGUUGGUCGAACAAAUCUGCAAUAAGAGGAAUAGGGUACUUGUUCUUUACAGUGACCUUGUUUAGAGCCCGAUAAUCAAUACACAUUCUCAAGGACCCAUCAUAUUUCUUUUGAAACAACACUGGCGCACCGUAUGGGGAUUUAGAUGGUCUAAUAAAUCCUACAUCCAAUAGCUCCUUCAGUUGUUUUCGCAAUUCUUCUAACUCUGGCGGAGCCAUACGAUAGGGGGCCCUUGUUGGCGGCACCACGUUGGACACUAACUCAAUUUUGUGGUCCACCUCCCUCUUUGGUGGCAAACUUUUUGGCAACUGAGCAGGCAUCACAUCCCAAAAGCACUACAAUAAUUGGCUCACUUCUUUCGGGAUUUCACUAACGGACUAAACGGUAUCCUCGAUCUUCAAGGUAGCCAAAUAAGAGACUUUAUCCCUGCGUACUCCUUUAGAAAAUUGAAUUGCUGACAGUGUUUUUCCCUCUAAGCUUCUCUUCCUUGUCAUUCUUACCAUGCAUGGAUGGUUCGAACCCGCAAUCACCAUGUAAUCACUCGAAGUGGCAAUAAGUGCCUUAACCUGAUCAAGAAAACUUAGUCCAACCACACAAUCAUAGUCAUCGAGUGGUAUUACCUUAAUGGAUACCUUGCCGGCCCAAUCACCCAGUUGAAGAUCCACUCCCUUGGCAAUACCCUUAAUUGGGACACUUUCUGAGUUCACUGUUUUGAUCCGACCCAGCUCAUUCUCUAUCUUGAGCCCAAGUUUCUGAACUGCCUCUUCGGACAUGAACAAAUCAGACGCCUCAGUGUCGACCAGCGCAUUCAAUUUUCUGCCGGCCACAAUAAUGUCCACAAACAUCAAUCCAUGAUUCGUUCUAUCUUCAACACCCCCUAGUAUCAAACCGAGAUUGUUGUCAUCCACAUCUGACUCCCCUUUUGUUUCCAUAGCCGUGAGAGCGGCCUUCUUUGGGCAGUCCCUGAUCAUAUGUGGACCAUCGCAGUGAAAGCAACUUAUAGGCCCACUCUUUCUCUUGUCCCAAAGUUUCUUACCGUUGCCAUUCCUAGCGGGCCUUUCUUUAUCUCCCCCACUAUUACCCUUUUGAUUGAAUCUGGGUUUAGAAGAAUUCACAUUGUCUUUCUUCCCACCAAAUUCAGCAAGCGAUUCUGCCAAAGACAUCGCCUUGGUAAGCUCUUGGGUUCCUCGGCGUUGCAACUCUUGCUUUGCCCACGGUUUCAACCCAUCCAUGAAGGAAAAGAAUGCUUCUUUCUCACCCAUAUCUGAGAUUUGAAGCAUAAGUUCGGUAAAUUCCUGUACAUACUCUCUCACAGUGCCUUGUUGCGUAAGCCGGUGCAACUUUGCCCAAGCCUCAUCCUCGGCAUACUUUGAGUAAAACUGUGCUUUAAACUCACGUCGAAACUCCUCCCAAGUUCCAAUUUCAGUCCCACCACGACUCACAUCAGUGGACCUACGACGCCACCACAACAAAGCAACGUCAGUGAGAUACAUAACAGCAGUAGUUACCUUAGUGGCAUCCUCCGUAAUGCCUUUGGCACGAAAGUAUUGCUCGAUUCCCCAAAGGAAGUUGUCCACAUCUCUAGCAGACCUUAUUCCCUUGAACUCCUUUGGCUUGGGAACAUCAACACUGGGCUUGGGUGCUACAGCAGCUAACUCUCCAUUGCCCAAAGCAACCUUGUAGAAUGUGAGUUCACCCUUGAGCUCCGCAAUCUCCUCUUUCAAGGCUGUUACCAUAGCCUCAAUGACAUCAUCUCUGCCAUUCAGUUUUUCAACAUUAUCCAACACAUACUCUUUGAGUUGCUCCUGCAUGGACUGCAACCCACCAUGGAGCCUAUCAUCGACAUCAUCAAUCCUCUCCUUGAUGUCUCCCACGAAAUCCUCGAGAGUGAUGACUCGAUCCUCCAAAGCUGACAGUAUGUCUCUCGAACGACUAGCUUUCCUAGCCCUCCCACGGGUCUCCAUUCUCUCAACAUUCUCAGCAGCUUCUUUGGACAUCUUUCAGUGGUACCUACAAACACUGGCUCGGAUACCAACUGUCACGGACUUAGAGUUUUCUCACAGAUCCGUGCGGCCUUAGGUAGUUUCUUUGCUCAAAAACGCCUAAGUCAGCCUAACUUGCAGUAAUAAAGGAUUCAACAGUAAAAACGCCUAAGCCAGCUUAACUCGCAACAAUAAAGGAUUCAACAGAAUUCCCUUAAGGUUUCCACGAAGAACGGCAGAAGAACGAAGUAAGAACGACCCUUGAAAGAUGAACAAAAAGCAAGAACACUUAAGAGAAAAGUUUGAGUGAAUACUCUCAAAAUUCUUAUUAACAACUGAAUGAAUUACAAUGAUGAGAGAGUCCUCUAUUUAUAGUUGAGGCUCUCCAAAAUCAAUGGUCUAAAUCAAAAUACAUCAAUGGCUACAAUUAAAAGCAAUCACAAUAUCAAAUCUCUAAGAUUACAUAAUCGUAUCUUCUAAAGAUUUCAUUUAAUAUCUAGGAUCACAUAUCUCAAAAGAUCACCUUCGAUAUUUGCCAAGCAUAUCUUAAAAAGAUUACUUUCCUUAUUUGCCAAGCUCCGGAGAUGGGCUUUUAAUUCCUCCAAGCAAUGGACCAUUCCAGUUGGGCCAAAUGACCUCCCUCGAAUGCGAUGGAUCGCAAGAAUCCGUCAUGGUUGCGAGAUCCCAUGUGCAACCCAUGACACUAGUACAUGCCACUUAAACAAAAGGAAGAAAUACAUCACCAAAAUUUUUUUGUUGGAGUCGAGAUCUUUCUGGAUGCUGAACUGGACCUUGAACUCUAAUAACCUGUGUACGGAAACAACCGUACGCUGAGUAUUUCAUACUCAGUGAUAUUACUAUAAAUUAAACUAUUUAAUAUUAAAAAUUACAAACAUCAACCAUAAGCCUUUAAAAAAAUCAUUUAAACUAAUUAUACAUAAUUAUAAAUCACUUCAUAAAUCUUAAAUUCAUAUAUAUAUAUAUUUCAUAUACUAAUUCAAUUCAUAAUUUAAUUCAUACAUUCUUUCUCGUACUUUUCAAUAGUGCCAAAUCAAUCAAUCUCAUUUUCAAAUUUUCAUUUCCAUUAUUUACCCUAUUAACAAGGCUUAGACUCUAACAAAUACAUGGAUUCCACCCAAAUACACCAGAAGAUCCAACCUAACACACCCGAUCUAGUCUGAACUACAAAUCUCCUCAUCAUAUCACAAAUCCUAUGGCAUGUCAUUUGUAUCCAAUCUAGUCCGAUAAGUUAAUAGGGUAUUAUUUUACUUUUCCAAUUUCAAAUUCAUUUCCACAACAAUUUCAAAUAUUCAAUCAAAUCAAAACAUCUAUUAUUUCAAUUCACAUAUAAUUCAAUAUUCACACAUAUUCUUACUUAAUUUCAAAUGUUAUUACUUACCUUAAUUUAAAUAUCCCAUGAUUACAAUUUCAAUAUAGCAUUUAGUAAAUAGUUUAAGUUAUAGUAAUACAAACCUAGAAUACGCGUUUACUCCUCAACAAUCUUUUCUUUUCCUUUGGAUGCCGAUGCCUCAUUUUCCUUGUUAGCUAUUUAAAUUAUAAUUAAUUUCACUAUUAUUUACAACAUUAAAUUAUAAAAAUAAAAAUAAUAAUUAAAUUUUAUUCAAUUCCUACUUAUUCCCAAUUUAAUUCUAACUAAGCUUACUUACUUUUCUAGCUUAAUUCAUACUUCUUUUCUACUUAAUUUCUUGCCAUAUUUAACUCAACUAUUCAAUAUUCAUAAUUAAACCCUAAUUUAAGAUUUCUUAUAACUUAAUCCCAACUAUGUAAAACUUAUAGCUCACUUUACAAUUUGAUCCUUUAAUCAAUUCUAACUAAAAUUUCUAUCAAUUAAACCCCUAAUUUAACAACUUGUUCAACAUGAAUCAUGUUCAAAAACCUAUGAACUUCCAUAACCUCCACUUAAUUUCAACAAAACUUUGUUUUAAAGCUUCUAAAACAUCAAAAUUAAGAGAAAAUGGCUAAAUUUAGCUUACCAAUUAAACUUGAAGCUUUAAAAUCCCAAUUUUCCCUUUUCUUUUCUUUCCCUUUUUCUUCCCCUGUUUUCGUUUUGUUCUCUGUUUCUUUUCUGUUCUUUUGUUUCUUUUUCUUUUUAUUUACUUACUUUACUUUAUUUUAUUUGCUUUAUUAUUAUUUUUAAUUACUAAAUAAUUAAUAUAAUAUCAAUAUAAAAUAUCUUAAGCUUAAAUAUUAAGUGAACCAAUUGUUUAAUAACAUUUGUACAUAUUUAUUUUAUUACACUUGUAUAAAUUUUAUACCAUUUAUUUGUCAAUUAUCUUAUUUAUUUAAUAAAAAUCUAUUUAAUAAUUUAAUAUAAUUAUUACAAAUGUAUAUACUUUUAUCAAUACAUUUGUAUUAAAUCACUACCAUACAUUUGUCUUUGUUUAACUUAUUUCAUAAUAUUAUAAUAAUAAUAAUAAUAAUAAUAACAAUUAAUAUAAUUUAUUAUUUCAUAUUAAACUGAUUAUUAAUGAAAUUUUAGUAGAAAAUAUCACAUAAAAAUUUUCAAUCUUACCCAGCUUAUGCUGCCUCAUACUUAUGAAUUGGCUUAAUUGCCAUUUUGAUCCUUUAUACUUUCUUUUAAUCUAUAAUUAAACUUUUACCCUUUACUCUAUUUAGUCCUUUGUCCUAAUUAUUCUUAAUUAGACUAAAUUCACCUAAUUAAUACCUAAUUAAGCACUCAACUAAACUCAUAAUUACUUCUAAUAAUUAUUUAUGACUCAGUUUACUAAGAUGGAGGCCCGAUAAUGUACUUUUCCUAUGCUCGUGAAUUUUGGGUCAUUACAUGUAGCUUAAUGUAGCUAACCGAGAGUUAAUUUGUAAAACUAUUAAAAGCUUAAGGACUUACCAUGAAUGAUUAUAUGUGUUUGUGAACUUAGUUGAUAGAUUCAAGAGAUUGAUAGCUAAAUAGGAUUAUUUUGUAAAGUGACUUUUAGUACAUUAAAUUAGUAAAAUUUCAUGAAAUUCUUGUGAAAAAUUAAUGAAUAUGAGCUAAAUAGGGACUAUAUAGAAAUCAACUAGCUUGAGUUUUGCUUAAAUAUGGUUAAUUUGUAAGUUUCGGGUUUAGGGACUAAAUUGCAUAAAGAGUAAAAUAUUAGGGGUAAUUUUACAAAUCUAUAUUGAAAUAGUUAUAAGCUUAAGUUUAAUUAUUUGAGAUGUUGGAAUCUGUAACACCCUUUACCCGGUCCGGUCAUCGGACCUGAGCAAUAAGGUGUUACAAGUAAUUACCAUACAAAUACAAAUAAUUUACAAUUUAAAAGAAGUAAAUAAUUACUAAAUAAUUACAUAUGGGCAUGCAUAUGAUCAUUUUUUUAUUUAAUUCAAAUAAAUAUUGAGUAUAAGGAAACUUAAAAACAAUUCAGAAAAGAUCAGGGAUUGAUUUGAAACAAAAUGAGAAGUUGGGAAAAAUCUAAAAACAGGGGACACACGGUCGUGUCCCCAGAUCAUGUGGAAACGUCUAGCCUGUGUGAGUUUGGACACAUGGUCAUGUGUGUGAGUCACACGAAUGUGUCAAUAGUUUACACGACCAUAUAGGCAGAUCGUGUAACUUAUUGACCCCGUGUGCAAUAAAACCAUUAAAAUUUAUAGACCACAUGUUUGUGCCGCCAGCCCGUGUGUGGCACACGGCCGUGUGCCAGACCGUGUGCACCUAGAAAAUUUUGUUCUAAAACAUGUAAGUUAUCCAUGUGACACUUAUACCACAAGCUACCAUUUACAUCAACUUUAACACAUUCAAAAACAUUUAAUUUAAACUCAAAACAUUAUUGGAACAAUCAUCUUAAGAGUCUAACCAAUAUACCACAAUUGGCACCUCAAAAGCACAAUUUAAAAACUAACUAAAUGAUCACAUUCAUUCAUGUCAAUAUACCCUCAUUAAUUUCUCAAGAAUUCAUUCUACACACGUAUACAUUCAACUAUCAUAUAUUUAAGUAUCAAACCAGGACAACCUAUCAAAAUACCAAUCACAACUAUUAUCAUCACUCAAAAUGCAUACUUACAUAAUCUCAAAAAGACUAACUAAAUAUAAAAUGACCAUUUAAAACAUUAAACAUCCUAGGUACAUGCCAAGACCGAAAAGAACCAUUCACCAACAUUGAGUUCAAGAUUUGCCACUGUAUGCUGAGUCGACAAUCGGAUCAAUGAAUACCUAACCUGAGCACACAAUAGAAAAUAAAUCAUACGAUAAGUAAAACCUCAUGGCAUUUUUAUAGUUUGGAUAUUUAAACAUAUUACGAAAUAGCCAAGUACGCAAUUUAAAUACCAUAAGAAAUAUGCAAAGAAACAUGUAGCUUUCAUAUUUUCAGAACUACAUUCAUCAAAUCUCUCUAGAGUUUCUAAUAUGAAGCAUCUCACUUUAUUUUCUUUACUCAAUAAAAAUAACCACAUAUAUAUCUUAUUUCAUUCUAACUUUAGUAUCGUUCAUUAUUCAGUGUUAAUUUCGAUUCCCAUUUCUUAUCUUCAUUUUCCUUGUUAACGUGAUUCGAACUUGGACGUCUACGCGAAUCCAACCAUCACACCAAAUUUGGCACUCAGUGCUUGACGGAUAAAUUCGUAAAUAAUGAAAUGCGCCUUGCGCUAGCCACUAAAACCGACAAAUGAGUGUGUCAGCACUGGUCGGUAUAACCGAAAAAUAAAUAUGCCCUGUGCUAGUUAAUAAAACUGAAAAAUGAGUGUGCCCAGAACUGGUCGGUAUAACCAAAAAGUAAAUGCGCCUUGCGUUGGUCGGUAAAACAUACAAAUGAGUGUGCCUAGCACUGGCCGGUAUAACCGAAAAAUAAAUGAACCCUGCGCUGGCCAGUGAAACCAACAAAUGAGUGUUCAUUCAUUUCAAAACCAAUGUUUCAAUUUCAUUUUAACAUUUCACCAAUUUGUUCCAAAGACUAACUCUCUUAAUAUACUCACCAAACAAAGUAAUAUAUAUAUAUAAGAACAAUAAUUGAAAUAGUUGGGUUAUAGAAACACCAACCUUUGAACAUUAUAACUGAACAUACAUACAACAUAGUUUAUAACAUUCACCCACUUUAUAAUUUCUGACUACAGUAUCGAUGGACACGCGAAUAACACUAAUAUUGUAAGAAUCGAAUAGUGUUAAAACAACAAUAUUUGAACAACCUUGAAUUACACUCGUUUAUUGAUACGAGAUCAAAGGCCUGACAAAUGCGUUCCAAACUAAAUGGGACCAUUCAGGAGUUUGUUACCAAGGCCUUAGAUGCAUACACGAAAGAACGGGAAAAUCAAGAUUUCAAAUCUUGGGAAUCUUGGUCCAAGAAACCAAAUCUUGCAGCCAAAGCGCAUUGGAUCUCCGUUACGAGCAUCAACGAUUCAAUUUUGGUAGGAGAUGGAUCACAAUCCCAAAUUCUUGAAGUCAAGGCCCAAUAAAAAGAUUCCAAGCCCAAUCAAGAAAUCCACCCAUACUUAGUCGAAAAUCAGGCCAAAUUGUCAAAGUGGCCCAAGUUGUAAAGUUUUAUAUUUAUUUACUUAUUUAUUUUACUUAGUUUAAAUUUUUAUGUAAAUAUCCAGCUCAAGAGUCCCAAAUAAAGACCCUUGGCCGAAUUUCCAUAUUAAAAUAAUUAGGAGUUUUUUUAUUUUAGUUUUCUAAUUAGAUUAGGAAAACACUUGAGAGGCCUAUAUAAAGGCUUGGCCGGCCACCUUGUUAUUCACUUCUCAAUUAUAUCAAAAAUUUCAGAUUUGUUUAAGUGCAGAAUUCUCUUUGAGUUUUUCUCCAAGAAUUCUCUCUUGGGUUUUCUUUAAAAGUUGUUUUAACAAUCUUUUGAUUGUGGGAGCCAUCUUCAGCCUUCUUCUUGCCAUUGAUAUUCUUGGAGGGGAGAUUAGAGCCGUUUGAAGGGAGUUGUGAGAUCUUUCGGGAUUUCAAGGCUUCUCAGGACUUAUCUUUUAAUUUCUUGCUGUCAAUUCUUUCUUUAUUUCUGCUUGUGCCGAAUCUUUAUCUAAUUUAUUUGCUGUUCUUAUUGUGUUUCCAGCCUUUUUUCUAUCUUAAAGAAUCAGCCAAAAAUCCCCAAUUUCUAGGGUUCUUGUCGAUUCAUCCUUACUCUUUUUGGGUGAAAUUAGAUUGCCGAAAUUUGGGGAAAACUAUCUUGGUGUUCAAUUGGGCAGAAUCGCAAUCUCCUUUAGGGUUUCAAGAACCCUUAUUAACACUUAUUUCUAUUCUCAAUUUGAUUCUUUGUUGAUUUGGGGAUUUUAUUUCAGAUUUAGAAAUUCAAAGUUCUAAUCUUUUAAUUUUCUGUUUCGUUUCAGAUCUGAUUGUUUAGGGUUUUCAUAGGAGUUUCCCGUGACUUGGCAACUCGAUCUUGGUCCGCGCUCAACCCCCGUAUCAUUUAUCCUUCCCAUUGAAAUGAUAAUAUAACAGAAAAAAUCAAGUAAAGCAUUAAAUCAGCAUGAAGUAUAUCAGAUAUAACCAACUUUGGGAAAACACUUAUUUACCUAUAAUAUCAGCAUUAAAAUCGGCAUAAACACUUAUUUAAUCCUAACAUUUAAUUUAACAUAAACAUAAUAGAAAUGUCUACUUGGACAACACUUAAAACAUGCUUUGGAUGACAUUUAAAACAUAUUUUGGACAACAUUUAAAACUUACUUUGACAGCAUUUGAAACAUACUUUUGCUGGCACUUAAUGCAUAUCAAAUGUUACAGAGAUACAAACAGGCUUCUGCUCAAUUUCAAUCUGAUUAAUAUAAACAAAUCAAUUCCAUAUAACUACUUCAAGAUAACUCAAUUCUUUCUUGGCAUCGGACUGUAGCAAUAAAUAACACAAAAUAUCAUAACAUACAAAAUUUAAUAAGCAUCAAACUAAGAAUUUGCUCACCGUAAACUUCGGGUUAUUCAAAUCGUAAUCAUUUAAUUCAUAUUUUUUGAUUUAAACCUUUAAUGCCAAAAAUAUUAUAUAAAUGACAGUUCAAAUAGUGAGCAAAGCAAUAUAAUAGAAAUGCAUCAUCAAUUAAUAGUGUAAGUCCCAUAUGAACUUACCUGACAAAAAUGGUGACACGCAAAACGCCGAGGACUAAUUCGCAAAAAAAAAGACUUUUCCUCAACUAUCCCCUGAUUACCUCAAAUCUCGAUCUAUACAAUAAUUUAUUUCGAUUUAUCAAUUUCAAACAUGUCAAAACAACCUAUUAUAAUCAUAUAUAUUAAUUCAAAAAAAUUCAAUGAUCCCUAAAGUUUUGUAUUUUAUUCAAUUUAGUCAUUAAAACCGAAAUGGUUAUAUCUUGCAAAUUUGAGAACCAAUUUUUAAAAAGAUUUCAAAUACUUCCCAUUACAACCCUCUGCUAUCAAUAAUUAUAGAAAAUUAAUACCAAUUUUGAAAUAUUUUAAUUUUUGUCCCUAUAUUCAAAACUAACAAUUAAACUUUACAAAUUAGUCUCUCUUUUUCUUUUUCCAAAUCUAAACUUAAAAAGUUAACCAUUUAACACCAAAACUUCAAACAUUCAACUAAAGUAACAUCUUCAAAUUUUAACAAUAACAAAAAUUACAAGAUGGGUCGGCUAGCUUAUAGUACCGGAAUUUCAAAAACAUAAAAAUUAUAAGAAAAUAACUAAAUUGCACUAACCAAUUUGAAGCUUGAAAAGUUUAAACCCCAUGCGUCCUUCUCCUUUCUUUUUUCGAAAAGGCUAGGAUGAAAAGAGAAUAAUCUCUCUCUUCCCAUCCACUAAUAUCAUCUUUUAAUUUCUUUUUGUCUUUUUUGUCUUUUAACAAUAAUUUUACUAAAGUUUACAAAUAUAA
rnacentral:lncRNA from 1 species